UGGAGCCCUGUGGCCCCCGGGGAAUAUCUGGCCCUACCUGAGCUUCGCGUGGCCGCGCAGAGUACUAUUUCCACUCCGCGUAGGGAGAAGGCUGAAUCUGGCUCAGCCAGGGACAUUCACAUUCGGCACUUAAGAGUACUUCACCACGGGCUGAACACUUUUUUGCAAAAUGUGAUCCUCUCGGGUAACCCUCUGAGGCCAGAGUCCAAUAUGGUGCUGAUGAAGAUAACACCAUGGGGCCUGUAGGACCAGUGAACUAGAAAGAACCUGGAUCUUUGCACAACCUCCUGGAGCAGCCCCUGGACUGCUCAUGUACUUCUGUACCACUUUGUCCCAGACUUAAGGAGCUGCCUGUAUAUUAAUUUGAAGACAG